rnacentral:rRNA from 1 species
GAUGAACGCUAGCGGCAGGCCUAAUACAUGCAAGUCGAACGAGAUUACGAGGCUUGCUUCUUAUGAAAGUGGCGCACGGGUGCGUAACGCGUAUGCAACCUACCUUAAUCAGGGGGAUAGCCCGAAGAAAUUCGGAUUAAGACCGCAUAAAAACACAGGAUAGCAUUAUCCAAUGUUCAAAUAUUUAUAGGAUUAAGAUGGGCAUGCGUGUCAUUAGCUAGUUGGCGGGGUAACGGCCCACCAAGGCGACGAUGACUAGGGGAUCUGAGAGGAUGACCCCCCACACUGGUACUGAGACACGGACCAGACUCCUACGGGAGGCAGCAGUAAGGAAUAUUGGUCAAUGGAGGGAACUCUGAACUAGCCAUGCCGCGUGCAGGAAGACAGCCCUCUGGGUCGUAAACUGCUUUUAUUCGGGAAUAAACCUUUCUACGUGUAGGAAGCUGAAUGUACCGAAGGAAUAAGGAUCGGCUAACUCCGUG